ACUUUUCCCUUAGCAGGGAAUAAAUUUUCAUUGUUCUGCCUUUUCCCUCUUGACAACUGUUUUUACAAAACUUGUAGGAACAUUAUUGUCUUUGAGAACUCUGUCCCUCUAUUCCACUUGGCUGAAAUUGGUUAGUAGGCUCAAAAUUAUUAGGGAAACCAGCCAGCCAAAAUGAUUGCCUAAGCCUCAUUUCCUUAAGAAACUAGGUUAAAAAGUUAAUAUUAGUAAUAACUCCUGAACUGGAGCUGCCAUGGGGGAAUACAGGGUGGCCCUGCAAGCUGUGUGUGCCAAAGCACAGUCUGAUGUGUUGCUCCUAUCAUGCUUUUGCUGUAAACUUUCUCCUGGGUCCUGUUAGCAAAUAAACCUUCCCCCAGCUGCUGUAUGGGUGAAUGGUCAUAGCAGUGUGCUGAGCAGGGGCGAGUCAGAGGCUCUUUGGUCCUUGGUUUGACUCUCUGAGCUUACCCACUGGUGAUUUCAGGAUUUGGACCCCUGCUCACCAGAAAGUGGCAGAGACCACACAUGCAUUUAAUCCAGAGCUGGACUUUGCCUGGCCUUCUGAGCAUUUCAGACCUACACUGAAAUCAGCAGUUUGCAGUGGGUUUCAUAUCUUAUUACCAAGUAAUUCAUUUUCAUGGCAAAAUAUAUAUUUUUAAUCUUUUAUAAAACCUACACACUUCUCUGCUUGAGUACACGAGUAUCACUUUGAUUUAACCUGUCUGGAGACCAUAAAUUGUUUUUGAAUUUACUUUUUAAAAGUUUUAUUUCUAGACAAUGAUUUAUGGAUGUGCAAUGUGAGAAACAUAUUUUCUGCUGCAAUGGGUGGAAACCUCAGUUUCCAUUGCAGCUCUGGGUCUGAAUAUUUAUCUGCUCUGGGUGGUUCAUGGUAUAUUUCCUGCCUUUCCUCCUUCCUCUUUCUUAGAAUUCUGCUUAAGAAAUUGUCUCUAGCUUAGCAAGAAGCUGAAAGCACGAAGCUCAUCUCUGUUUCUAAAAAAAAAAAAAAAAAAAAAAAAAAAAAAAAAAAAGGAAAGAAAACACAUUUCACAGCAGACUCUUCCUUCUUCAUCACAUAUGGUCAGCGAUAGUCACCUCACUGAGAUUUAUUCAGCUCCCAGUGUGUUUUAAGUAGUUCCUGAUAUACGAAGAGAGGCAUAUGGCCAAAGCUCCUUGUGCUGAAAUUUUUACUGUCUGAAUAUAAAGCGGGGAAAUGUAACUGCUUUCCAACAUGAGCUUAUCUUUAGUGUUUUGUUUUAUCCUGAGGCAUUGACCUUUCUAUUAUCAGACUCCCUGAAAAGAAGGAGUACAACUAUGUCUUGUCUGUAUCAUCUUGUUUAUGGUUUAUAUGUGGCUCCAAGUUCUGCCAGAAACUUAGUGUCAUUUUACUGCCUGGUUUUACAUUCUGCCUGUGAUGUUCUAAUUAUUGGGGUGUGACAGAGCACUUAUUUCCUAUCAUAAACCAGGGGUUGUUAUUCAGGAAUGAAAUUUUGUUGAAAUCAUGAAAAGAUGUAACAAUAUGAAAUAUUCUCUGAGGGCCAUAUUCUGAUCUUGUUGACAUUGAUGAGAGUGUUACUUUUGUCUUCACUGUGAGAGCCACGUAAUGAAAGACAAUGGAAUUACAAUGUCUGCUUCUAUUUUUUUUUAAAGAAACAUUUCCCUACAGUACUGUGAGCGCUGGAAAAUGAGGCUGUUGUAUACCUCAGCUGAGUACCUGGUGCAGCACUAGCAUAGGAUAUGUAGUACGUUAGAGAGACGCAGUCUUUGUGGGUAUAAAUCAGCGUAGUUCCUUUCACAUCAGAGGCAGUGUAUGGUUUUAUAUUGUGGAGAAAUCUUGCUCUCAGCUUCAAGCUGCCAUUUCCUUCCCCUUUCAAAGCAGAAAAAAGCAAAAAGGCUGCCCUUUCAAUCCAUUCCUAGUAAGGGGAGGAUGGGAAGAAAGAAAUAAAAUGAUUUGGAGAUUGUGUAGUAGUUUCCUACUUCACUACUAGUAGCACACAGUUAAUGCACAUGACUUAAUGGGAAUAUACUUGCACUCAGCUGCAGUUGCCUACGGCAGAAGAGAUAAUGAAAUAUUUCUGCUUAUACCAUCACAAGCUCUCACUUGAACAACAGAAGCACAAGUACAGACCAGCCAGAUUCAAACCAAGAGCAGGGGCAAACUGAGUGCAGCCCCCAGCCUGGCCAAGGCUCCUCAACACAGCUCUUGGAGACAUGAGUCAACACAAUGGGGAAAACUCCUUUGAAUACCUGAAAAGACAAGGGUGAAGUAUCACCAUGGGCUGUACUGUGAUCCCUAUCACAAAGCACAAAAAAAGGCAUUUGACCUUCCUUCUGGUCCUGAAGAGCAGGAACAGGCCAAUGUACUUGUGGCCUUGGUGGUUCUGAGCCACGGGACUGCAGGCAGGACUGUAGGCCUUGUGUUGGAAACAUGAUGAUGACUUACCCUCCUGCAGCUCUGGAAGGGAAAUGGAACUGUUUGGGUAGCCUAGAAACACUGUGUGUGAGUAUGGGAAGUUUUCUGUGCUGGUCUGAACUAAGCCUCCUGGGACUCCUCACGAUUAAUCUUACUAGCUUCUCUGGGGCUUUAUCCUGACCUCAUCCCUGCUCCCAUUCACACAUAUAGUAACAAAAUUUCCUUUUGAGUCAUCCUUAAUAAGUGUUCAGAAAACUCACCUUUUCUUCCCAGAUGUGCUGUUUGCUGUGCUAAAGCAGCCCCUGGUCAAAGCAUAUCGUAGGAUGACAAAGACAUCCUAGAAGUGCUGCGUGGAGAAUUUUGUUUAACCCAGCUGGAGAAUGAAAUUUUCUUCUGGCUUGCAGCAAGGGUACAAGGGUGCAACUCUCUUCAUUUCAGAGGAUCUGCACUUUCAUACAGUAUAAGAAAGGCCUUAGCAUCUCUGUUAUGAGAGUAGAGGAAGAGGCAUCUUUCAUUUUUCUUGUGCUUUUUAUUCUGAUUUUGCUCAGGCCUUCAGAUGCAAUUUGCAUAUCUGUCUUCAUAAUUUUGAGCUGGUAAAACAUUUUGAUCAGAAAAUGCUGACUGCAGUGAAGGGAAACUUUUUGCUGAAAUAUUUCACUUUAAUGAUGUAAAUAUCAUGUUAUACUCAGAUCACUCCCAUAAAAUUGAGUAUUUGUCCUCCACAGCAUGAUUUUGGGUUUUACACUGUCUUGCAAUAUUCAUGCUGUAAUUAUAAAAAAUGCAUAAACAUAGAAUUGGUUUCGGAAUAUUUUCUUUCACAGUAAAGUUAUGAGAUUACUGACUUUUUUUUUUAUCCUAUUCCAGUAGAAGUACAAUCUGAAAAUUCUCAACUAAAUAGAAUUUUCUACUUUUAAUUAGUUUUACUAAAAUUAUAACAGCUCCCCCCUCCCCUUUUCUCCCUCUCCCCUACAUCCUACCACCCUCUUGCAGUCCAGGGCUUUGGAAAGAAGUCCCACCUGUUCCUUAACAGCAUGUUGGGGAAGAAUGGAAAGUAGGAGGACAGGAGAGGGAGGUGUGACUGUCGGUGAUCUGAAACAUGAGCAGGAACCUCCAUUUGAGUUUUAUCUGUAAAACUCCUUCUGGUGUGAGACAGCUGCUGCCUCUGAAGGCUUCUACAUAUCUCUUGAAAUCCCAAGGAUCCUUCCUUUUUUAACCUGUAUUGUAUCCCCAUUGCCCUUGAGAUCCUAUACUACAGCUGCUUUCUUCAGAAGGAUUUGAUAAGAAUAUCUCUUUUGGACCAUGUCAGUGUUAGAGAAUUGCUGUCAAGCAUCAAGAGAUGCUCUCUCUCUUCCCCUGGGGCUUUAAAGAUGCUAUUCUAAAAUUAAAGUGUUUGGUAUAGAUAAGAUACUUAGGGUUAUAAUGAGGUCAAGAGUUGCUGGCAGUUUCUAUCUGGAUAUUUUUUUUUAGAAGUUGAUCAGAUCUCUGGCUGUGUUAUUUUCCUUUUUAGACAGAUAAAUAUAGACAGACCAGGUAGAGAAACAGUCAGGAACAGGAAGCUUUUGAAAAAUAUUUGGAAAUUAUUCUGAUUGCAUUGUUUAAGUCAAGUUGCACCAUUUGAUUGUGCUGGCAUUCUCUGCAAUGUAAUGUGACAUGGAAUAUGUGAUGUAACGAGAUAUGCCCGCCAAAACCCAAUGUGCUUUGUUUUAGUCAGAAUGUAUUAAUCCACUUACUGAAUAAUUGACCCAAAGAUAUUCUGUCAAACAGUACUAAAUUAUUCACUGGAUUUCCAAACCAGCAGACAGUGUCCUUUAAAUAUUUAAGAAUGAUG